UAAUUCAAUUCUUCCAAAAACGAGUUUUUGAUGAAACAUUUCACUAAGGAAUCAUUUGAGGAGAAGACAGUGGAUAAUUAUUAUGAAAAGAUAUAAUUGGUGGUCUAUCGAUUAUUCUCGUUUUUGUGGAGUCAAGCUCCGGGUGCAUUUCGCUCCAGAGGCAUGGGAAAAAACAAGAGUAGAGUAGAUGAAAUCUACUGCAGUUCCUACAAUUUUCGCUCAUAUAGAGAGGAACUGACACGACAGAUUAUACCUACAUCAUAUUAUUCUGAAAUGUUUUUGUGCAUAAACUACCACUCCAUCCACUUCGACUACUGAGCUUCUCCUUGUAAAUCAAUCCUCAAGUGUUGAUACUAGAAGUUCAUCAUCAGUCAAUUCAAUCGAUUACCAUAGAUAAUGUGAAUUGGAGAAAUUGUACUUGAAAGAAAAAUUCAAGCCAGGAAAUACAAGAUAUUGUAGAAAAAUUCUUUAUGAAAGUGCAAGACAUUAGAAAAUCAAGUAUAAUUUGGAUUUGGUGAAGUAAAUGACAUUUCAAUUUUGA